CACAAAUGACGAUGUUUUUUAAAGGUCAUUCCAUUUUCAUUCAGACUUUUACAUAAUUAACAUGUAUAUACGAAAGAUAAUGAGCUUUAAGACAUUUCCUUUAUGAGAAUGAAAAUAAAAUUCUGUUCACAGAAUGCUAAAAGAAUUAAGUAAAACGUGUUUUGAUACUCAUUCAGUAUGUGCAGGCAUUUUAGCGGGACUUAGGUUUGGUGUUAUACUUUGUGGAUUUGUAUUUCGGAAGACACAUAUAGAAAAUAUAGCAUAAGUACAUAUAUAUAUAUAGUGAGAGAGAAGAAAAUAGAUGUAAUAAUUUAAUUAGAUAACAAAGAAGAAGGAAGCAAAGAAGGAAGCGAAGAAGAAGGAAGCGAAGAAGAAGGAAGCAAAGAAGAAGGAAGCAAAGAAGAAGGAAGCAAAGAAGAAGGAAGCAAAGAAGUGACAUAAUAAAUACUUAUGUACGUUGAGUAAUAGAGUUACAACGGCAGUUGCGUAUACUGACUCGCUCCUAACCUGUAAAUGGAAGAAAAAAUUCGUUAUUCCAACAUUUAUUUCAACUAUCAUUUAAUGUUAAUUAGGCAAAAUAUAAGUAAGAUAAUGAAAGAUAUUUACAAAACACACGUAAGAAUGUUUUCGUUUGUACUCACGUAUACAUUUUGCGGAUCCCUUCUGGAAACACUUAUUAAAGUUCUCGAAGUUUCUGCAAGAUCCAAUUAACACAGAGUACAAUCUAAAGAGAAAACUGGUGGCAUAAGACGAAAAUCUGGAGGCUUAGUGACAUGUUAAUGCUGGUAGAUGUAUUUCAGGUCAAUAUAUGUCGUAAUGAAUGCAAUCAAGAUACCAUAAGAUGUGACCCCAUCAUCAAGGUCUCCAUUUUACUGAGAAAAAAUAUUGUAUAUUUUUGUCACCAUUCAUAGUCACAGGAUACAUCAACUUUUCAUAUUGUAUGUGAGGAAGAUUGAGAUGAAAUGGAAGAAUUUAAGCCAUCUGAAUAUUCGUUUCAAGCUGUCUGAAAAGACCAUUCAACGUCGCUGGAGAGCAUAUAUAUUCAUGUUGUAAUUGAGAAAAUAUCAGAUGACAUGGAGAAAUGGAAGCCAUUUGAAUAUUAGUUCCAAA